UUCGCAAUGCCCGAAAGGGUGCCGAAGCGACGCCGCGUGCGGGAAGAAGGCCUUCGGGUUGUAAACCGCUGUCGGGAGUUAGGAAGUGCAAGGAUGUUAAUAGCGUUCUUGCUUGACUAAGGCUCCGGAGGAAGCCACGGCUAACUCUGUGCCAGCAGCCGCGGUAAUACAGAGGCGGCAAGCGUUGUUCGGAAUUAUUGGGCGUAAAGAGCACGUAGGCGGCUGUGUAAGUCGGUUGUGAAAGCCUUCCGCUUAACGGAAGAACGGCAUCCGAUACUGCAUAGCUUGAGUGCGGGAGGGGAGAGUGGAACUUCUGGUGGAGCGGAGAAAUGCGUAGAUAUCAGAAGGAACACCGGCGGAGAAGGCAACUCUGUAUUUUAUUUGUGAUUCUGAGUGUGCGCAAGCUGGGGGAACAAACGGGAUUAGAUCCCCCGGUAGUCCUAGCCUCAAACGGUGGGCACUAAGUAGAGGGGUUUU
rnacentral:rRNA from 1 species